CAUCCUUUCUCUGCACCUGGGCUGGCUCCUCAUCUGCUACUUGAGACAUGGGCGUUUCCCAAGGGUCUCAUCAUUCUCACCAGCUGGCUCUUCUGGAUGAGUCUUAAAUCUUCGGCUCCAGCGCUGUUUUCCUUCUACACCCCAGGCUUGUCUAACAGCCCAGUCAGUGUGUUACCUCCUGAGGGCCAGAGGGGACCGGAUCCGCCAUGGGACAGGCACACUAUGAAGCAGAUGAGCAUCAGUGAACAGUUACUGAUCGUCUGGUGGGAGAUGGGGACCAAACUUUAAGGCUGUGAGCUCCUCAAGGACAGGGACUGUGUGUCAGUCACUGUUAUAUCCACAGCGCCUAGCACAGUGCCUGGCACACAGUAGGUGCUCAAUAAAUGUUUAUUGAAAGGAUGAACGAGUCCUGAGUCCCAUUAUGGAGACUUCUGCUCUAUACUCUGGAAGGCAAGAGGAGAG
ensembl:lncRNA